GCACUCCCGAAGCUGCGCGCUGGGGAGAGGAGGACGACCCCCCCCCCAUAGAGAGGACCGUUCCUCGGUCAAGGGUAUACGAGUAGCUGCGCUCCCCUGCUAGAAUCUCUAAACAAGUUCUCAAGGAAAGGCACUGAUCCAGC
rnacentral:sRNA from 1 species